rnacentral:lncRNA from 1 species
CUAGUUCCACUACAUUUCGGCCGGCUACAUUUAAUCCACCAUACCAGCUUACAUUUCAGUCCCAUGUACAAGAGCCUGGUUGCACUCCACCGGCAUUAGAUAACAAAGGUAUUACUCUUGAUUUUUUAAGCUUACUCUUUUUGCCUCCCAUAUCUCAUUUUCUCUCUUUUUAUUGAUGUUGCAGCAACUCUGUACAGUUUAGGGACUGAUUUUGCGUAACUCGGAUGGCGAAACAGUCUGAAGUGCAUGCAAAAGAGAAGACUUUAUGUUGAUCUGCUUAUUGGUGAAGCGCCGGGGUUUUGUUGGCUGAAGCGCUGAAGACUUUCUAUUCAUUUUGAUGCUGCUAAUGUGGUAAACUGUAAUUAUAGAAAUUCUAGCU